UAGAUUCAUGGAUACGACUGUAGCCGUCGGCAUCUGUACGCCCUGCUCAACACCGCCGCCCUUGCUCCAUGCCCCCUUCUCCAACACCGCCGCCUUUCUCUCAUGUCGCCCUAUUGUGCGUCCCUCUGCUCCAGCCUGCAGUCGCGGCCAUCCUCCUCUGUUCAAACUUCAGAUGGAGAUGAACAUCUCUUUGGACGAUAAUCCCUCUGUUCUUUUGGUUGUUCACUCAUUCACUAGUUUUGUGCCCACCUUAGCCUCCUCUUCCUAGAGUUGAAAUCAGUGGGUCACUGUAAUCCAAGGUAAAUGAUAUUUCUCUGCAAUAAUUUUGUUAUGUUGUCCUCCAUUUAAUAAUAAGUGAUCUUUCUCUGCAUUUAAU
rnacentral:lncRNA from 7 species